GAUUAAACCAAUUUUUGCUGAUUCUUCAGCUUUUCCUUUUUCAGAGGCUUUUGGAAUGAUGUGUUCCUUAUGAUUUAAUAGCUGCUCUCCAUCUCCAUCUGAGCAGGUUGUGAACAAUGCCAUGUGCUGCUUGAAUUUGGUCUGCUGCCUGCAUUGUGCCACUCAGCUCUGUGCUGCCUCUCUGCCGUUGGUGAUAUUGCAGAGGCACCAGCCCCAGAAUGCUUUGUGAAUGCAUGGGAAAAAGCAGCGUGGGUCAAGGUGAGAAUCCAUUAUUUUGAGACAAGCCAAAGGAGCAUUCAUAUUCAUAUAUGUAUUCAAGCCAUGAGGAAGACAUCAUCUCUGGAUACCUAUCUCCUCCUCUUCAUGCUGCUAUCUGAAGUGGCAUAAGGUCCAUAGGGCUUAUGCUUCUGUGGAACAGAUUAAAGUAAUUUGCCGCCUACUAAGACAAACAAGGGUUACUUGAAUUAUUUUGACGAAGUAAAAUCUCAUUCUCCAAGAGAAUGGGGGUAGACCAGGGAAAUCCCAGUGGAAUGAAAAAAUGCAAAGUAGCUUUGCUGGAUUCAGAGGUCUUGACUGACAUUAUGCUUUAGGGGAGAGAGGAUGUCUUGUGAGGAAGGAGAUAGCAGGAAGCAGGAUGAUUGCUGGCAUUUAAAGAAAGCUACUUGACUUUUAUCAGAUAGGGGGAAAAGAUUAUUUGGCACUUAUGUUAAUUACUGAAGAGACAUAGGAGACCUUAAUUUUGAAGCUAAGAAUGAUGGGAU
ensembl:lncRNA